UACGGAGGGUGCAAGCGUUAUCCGGAUUCACUGGGUUUAAAGGGUGCGUAGGUGGGUUGGUAAGUCAGUGGUGAAAUCUCCGAGCUUAACUUGGAAACUGCCAUUGAUACUAUCAAUCUUGAAUAUUGUGGAGGUCAGCGGAAUAUGUCAUGUAGCGGUGAAAUGCUUAGAUAUGACAUUGAACACCAAUUGCGAAGGCAGCUGGCUACACAAAUAUUGACACUGAGGCACGAAAGCGUGGGGAUCAAACAGG
rnacentral:rRNA from 1 species